AUUGGGAUGCCAUACGCUCUUCAACCUUUACAAUUUUUCUACGGGGUCUCAGCUAAUGCUAAGAAUCUUUAGCAAUAGACAUAAUUCAUACGAAUCUAGAAUCUUUUUUCAUGCCAAAAAAUUAAUACACGGAUCGAAAAAACAUAAAGUUUGUAAUCCGUAAGAGUCCUCUAAAAAUCCUGCAAACCGGAUGAGCAUGUAUUGUUUCCUUUGUUCCAUACACCCCUAAAGAAAAAAAAAAUCCAUAGAAUAACACAUCUCGAAAUUUCUUUACUAUUCCUUCGUUCCAAACAAGCUCUUAGCAUAUAGGCCUACUCUUGUGUAAUCUUGUUAUGCAUGCAUCUAACGAAAUUAGGGAAAAUAAUUUUUCUUUAAGAGUGAAUUCUACUUUAACCUCCUCUAUGAAAGUUCCGGACACAUUUUACCAAUUUAGCAAAAAUUCCUGCAUUUUACCCCAUUUCAAAAACUCUUGACACAUCGUUACUCCAUUUAAUUUAUUUGGACAUCCUAAUAAAUCACCCUACAUGUCAAGCCUAUGUAGCGCCUCCACGUCGAAGGUGUAUCUCCUGAAUGCGCUUCAGACCAUGUUUUAAAUUUUGGCUUCACCAAAAUUUCAAAAAUCAUUUUGUAUUAUCUCCUCAAGUUAUAGAAUUUUGAGCAAACCUUGAUUCUAGUAUUUAAUUAUGUUUGAAUCCUAAUACACUGGCCCC
rnacentral:lncRNA from 1 species